rnacentral:rRNA from 1 species
UACGUAGGGGGCAAGCGUUGUCCGGAUUUACUGGGCGUAAAGAGCGCGCAGGCGGUCGAUCAAGUCGAGUGUGAAAUCCCCAGGCUCAACCUGGGAACUGCGUCUGAUACUGGAUGGCUUGAAUUCGGGAGAGGGAUGCAGAAUUCCAGGUGUAGCGGUGAAAUGCGUAGAUAUCUGGAGGAAUACCGGUGGCGAAGGCGGCAUCCUGGACCGACAUUGACGCUGAUGAGCGAAAGCUAGGGGAGCAAACGGG